rnacentral:tRNA from 1 species
UGUGGCAGAUUAGUGCAAUAAAUUUAAGCUUUAUUUAAAAAGUCCAUCUUUCUUUAGA